AUCCACCAGCUGUGCUCUGCGCCUCCCUGUAUUUAUUACUCCCGUUUUUGAAGCAGAGGUUGGUGGGGGGAGCACGGUGAAUGGGUCACACAGACCCCUUUUCUCAUUUCACCUUUGCCUUCUUUCCCUCAAACAUGAGCAGCUCACUGGUGUUUUUCGUUUGUUGAGAGAAAAUCAUUUGGGUGACAGAGAAGCUUAACGUAAAAUGUGUAACAGACCCUGAUAAACCAUGGAAGUAGUGGCAAUGCAGCAGAUCCAGAAAUGCUAGGGGUAAAUAUUUUUUUUCUUUUCCACCCAGUCAGCUAACACGUCUGUGGUUGCAUAGGUGUUAACAGAGAGAAUUAUUUCCCUGCAUGAAGGAAACCUGAGAAGGACAAAAAAAAUUGAUGGAGGAAAGGAUAAGAAGCUCCUGUUUCAGAGCUCCUGAAGACUCUGAGGAACUUUGGAGUAACUUGAUAAAGUCAUGUAGGUCAAACCCAAUUCUAAUUGGUGCAAAAAGGUGAAGGACAUCCAUGGAAAUAGUUGGAAUAAAUCACAGUAGCUAGUGGAGCAUCCAGGAAAAAAAAAAGAAGAAAAAAAAGGAAGUAAUGUGUUAGAGUCUGUGGAACUUAAAGAAACAACCUCCCCUGUGUAAUUCACUCUUCAGCCAAUAGAAGGAAAGUUAGUCCAUCUUACAAAACUUUUAAUAUAUUUUCAUAACUUUGGAUAUAACUUUGUCAAAUAAAAAAGAAAUUUUUAAAAAAGCUUGAUAUGCAAGAUGAACAAAUCUGCAAAGUGAAAAGCUGGAAGUUGUCUGUAGAAGCUGUGAGAGACAUGGAAAGAUGACAUUGGAGAGAGAAGUGUAAAUGCAUGAAAUCUAGAGUAGACCAGAGGCUUGCGAGGUGCUCACAGAGGUUGUGCGACCCUGAGGAUGUCUAAAGAGGAAGGAGAGAUGCACUCUGACCAGUGGCAUAAACCCUAACACUCCAUGGCAUAGCUCAGAUGCUCACUGUCCAGCUUCAGAAGAGAUUUUCAAAGUUGCUUGGCUUGCUCUUGCACCCACAGCGGUGAUGCCUCGGUCAUGGCUCUGGUGGUCUAGCACAUCAGGAGUGAUAAGGUGACCUGGGAAGGUCUGACCCAGCCCUAUGGCUGGAGCAGAGGGAGCUGCUAGAUGUCUGUGAGGAGGGAAGACAUUUAUGUCAUUCUUCAGGAAGCUUCUCUACCUUGAACUGACUGGCAAAGGUUAGACUAAACUUUCUGUGCUGAUUAAUAAAGCCUCUGUGGAUGGGGUCCAAGCCAAACCUGUGAACAGUCUCUAUCUCUGAAUUUCAGUUUGUUACAGCAUUUACAUUAAGUUGUAGAUAAUGUGCUCAUAAAGCAUUAAUCUAAUACUCUGAAUUAUGAAGCCGUUGCAGUUGAAUUAAUGUCUUUUUACAAUCAAGUCUUAUUUACCCCUUAUGUUCAACUUCCCGAAAGAAACUCUCUUCUACUUAUAAUUUGAAUAUCUGCUUUUUAAUAAAUCUGGUAGAACUAUUAGAUGGAAAGUGUGAGGUAGAUUAGUGAAGGUAUUUCACAGGCUUGGGCAUGUAAAAUGAGCUGCAGCAUUUAUUUCACAAUCGCUUCCUCCAUUUUUAAACUGUGUCUCGAAGUUGUCAUGUUUUGGAAGCAUGAGCUGCAAGAAAGAUGCAGAUUGCAGAGUAUACACACUGUUCACUUUGAAUUUAAAUCAGUUAGACAUGCAGUAGCUCACCUCGUGAGUUUAGGGGGAAGUCAGCUCAAGGCUGGAAGAUGAAUUUGGCACAUAUUUACAAAGGCAAAAAUGCAAGACCCACCAGCCAAGCAUUUCAUUAGAAAGACAAGUUAAAUUCUGCUGGGACAUCCUAAAAUCAGGUAGCCCUGAAGUCAGAAGCGUGUAUAAUCCUAAUAUUGAAUGUAGUGGGGUAAAUAUAUUUAAAAAUAAUGAAAUACCUUUGCAUGAUGGAAAACCCUAAACUGUGUGGAUUUUUUUUUUUAUUUUACUAAGUGAUUAUUCUGCUAAUGAACUGUGAGAGUGAAGUUUGAAUAUUACAGUAUUUGUCAUCUGCUUUCCAGCCUGUUUUGUUUUUCAGCUAAUUAUUUGAUUCAGAUUGCCAGUAAGGUAGAAUUACAAGACAGCAAGUGUGGUACUACUUAAUUUUUCAGUGCUUUUCCAUGAGCCCCUUUAAAUCUUGAGGUUGACUACCUCAAAAUACCUCAAAAUUUUCAAAAAAGCUGUUUGUUAUAUUUACUAACUGCAAGAGAAAAAAAUUAUAGUUUGGCAGGUUAGUUUUGCAAUGAUAUAUAUUCUUAAUAUCCAGAUAAAUUUCUAAUCCUACUGAAUUCUUUUUUUGCCUUCAGUCAUAUCAGUUGACAUUUAGAUCCUGAAGUUACUUGCAUUUAGUAUAGAAAUAAAUAAAGCCUUUUAUCAGUUUUCAA